UUACUCUGGUUUCUCUGCAUCACGCAUAAAUCUUUCGCCUUUUACUAAAGAUUUCCGUGCAGAGGAACACUCAUUGAGUUUAAACUCAAUUUUUUCUCAGCCCUUGAGAAUAUCAAGGGU